UUAUAAUCUCGAUUAAAUGACGAGAAAAUUAUGAGUAGUACUGUACGUUAAUAAAUGUUAAACCAAUUACGCGAAAGCAUAUAAUUGUCUCCUUUUUGCAUGGGGGAAUGCAAGGAAUAAAGAAUCACAUCCAAAGAAUCCAAUCACCCGGAAGAGACGCCCCUUCAACUACACGAAACCUAUAGCGGCGGCCAGAGGUACUCCCUCUCGGGUUCCGGAGGUCAUCUUCCAAGCUGUCAAGAAAGGGAUUUUGGGUUUGCUACUGAGAUGUUGAGGGCAAAUCCAAAAUUUGUGUGGAUCAAAGAUGAAAAUAUAUAUAUUUUCUCUUGUUGUCAUUCAUCGUCUCGCUAAAAUCUUUUCUUUUAACUUGAAGAAAGAUUUUAGCUUGAUGAUGUAGGACAGCAACAGAAUGGUAUAUAUUUAGCCUUAUAUUCAUGCAUAAUUUGAGGAAUAUUUUAUAAAGACAGUGACAACAAUGGCAUGUUACCUAUAGUAAGGAUGUCAGCAGCUUUCACCACGCAUAAUGGCAAUAUCUCUGGUGCAGCUUUGCAGAUGUAGGGAGAGCUACAUUCUUUAAGAUGAAAAUGCAAUCAUCUUCUCCUGGAGAUAGAUAGGAGACUAGAUAUUGGAAUAUGAAGGAGCGAGCAUUCAUUCCUUGACAAGGUUGAUGUCCUAAUCAAGGCGAAGAAGAUGUAAUUGGAGUGAUGCGGUGGGAUAAUAAACCAAUAGACCAUAAGUAUAUUCCCCUUCUUGAGAAGAUAUUGGUUGGCUCUUUCUUACGUAGUUGGAUAUUUGAUACCUUUGUGUUAUUUUAUGUUCGAAAAAAACUUAAAAUCGAUUUGCUGUGAAAGUGUAUUUUACACCCUCCAAUAGGAGGGAGACAGCUCAUAUUUUUAUUGUUCUUGUCAUAGAUCCAACUACAACCGAUAAAAGUUACUAUUUUCAUCUUCCUUCUUACCAUAGUGUGCAGACCCAUGAGUCCCUCAAAAUCCAUUUUUACAAGAUCAUUCUUCUUACCACAGAUCAUGAGUCCCUCAAAAUUCCUUUUAUACGACCUUUUUAAAAACAAGUAGUAUGGUAAAUUUAUCUUGCGAUGUGGAAGUUUCUGGUGAUACUGGAGAUGGAACAUAGGUUGACACCACACUUCAUCUUUCUUUUUGACAUUUCAGCAUUUUUAAUCAAGGAAAAUGUUAGGGAUCCCGUUGUGGGAUCCCAUUUUCUCUUCCUGCUUGACGUGGUCCUCCACAUUAGCCUUUUUUAUUUUUUUUUUCCCCACGUUGACUGAAACACGUUUUGACGUUUUCAUCCACGUUUUCUAGGACGAUUUGACGUACCCUCACAGCACUUACUCUUUGUCUCUCUCUCUCACUCCUUAUUCACUUCCUCUAAUUUUUUUCUCUACCGAUGGCGGAAGAUCACCCAGCACCAUCAACGAGUGACACAUUUGCACGGACGCAACCCAACACCGUAGCUCCAACCUCCCAAACACAUAAAAAUAGGCACCAUCUGCAUGAGUCAACCUCUGUUUUAAGUAACCAAAAUAGAGCACUUCAUCAUAGAUCAACCGCUCACUCAACUAUCGUGAUCCUCCCACGGUCAUCCUCUUCGAGUGCCUACUCCACGUUGCUUGCUGCUGCUGCUAUUUCUCGGUGUUGUUGAACUCUGCGCAUCCCAAACUCAGCCACCACGAAAUCAAUUUACGGCUCAACUCCAUGCACGACAAACCUCUAUUUUUACUAUUAAAAACAGAGCAUGUGUGAGAGUUGACCGUGGCCUAGUAACUCGCUGAAACUCAUUUCCCUGAGGCCCAAGCAUUCUCCUUCUUCUUUAUUUUUUUUUCCUCGCUGAAACUCUCUCCGUAAUUCCCUCACCAACUCUGUCUCUCAGUCUUCGUCUCUCGCUAUCUCUCUCAUCAACUCUAUCUAUCUUAAUGUUUCUUCAUGUUGCAAACCAACUAAAUCACCUAGACCAGCAAACCAUAACAUCUUUCAACCCAAAACUCUGCCCAAGGCCACGACAACCACAACUGUUGCCAACCAAGUCUUCCCUUCAUCAGUCAAGCCAACCCAACAACACAAAACCACUCUACCAUCUAACCAUGAAGCCAACCUCCAACCCACACAACAACCUUCGUCACUCCCAGUGUAUGUUGCCGCCCUUGCACAAGCUCCUGUUAGCCACCAUAUUCGCUUCAGCCCUAGUUUUUCCUCCACGCCUCAUCUCUUCAAAGCCUUUGUUUGGGUUGCCCAAAAAAAGAGCAAAUUGUUGCACUCUCAGCCUCGAUUUUCCCUGAACGGACUUCCACCACCUCAAGCAACUUCUCAACAACCUGUUUGGCUAAAAAAAUCUCUGUUCAAUAGCCAUCGUGCCAUACCCAGCUCACUGUCGCGCAGUGUUCUCCCCUCUUCCACAGUGAGACUUGAAUCUCUAGCUCUCUCUUGUUUUGUUUCCCGGAUUUGAGGUCUGAUGAAGGAGAUCCCAGCUCCGGUCAGAGAUGGGUUCAAUGGAGGCGAGGGUAGACGGUUAGGGUUUGGGGGUAGUCGAACGGGGCAUUGGUUUGGGAAAAAUGAAAUGGUUUGAGGGCAAUCUAAUGGGGACAGGGGAAGAUGAUGCUCCCUGGCGCUGUUGUGCAGAAAUGUAAUCGUGGAAAGCAAAUGAAAAAACAAACGAAGGAAAUACCACAGUGGCGUGCACACAUUAAGCAGGACUAAAAAACGAGACUCAAGAGUGGGGUCCCUAGCUGUAACAUACGAACCUAGAAUUUAGGUUAAUUCAGUUAGAAUUAUUUAGUUAUGUUCUGUUUAUAUUUAUUGCUUUUAUUAAUUACUUAUUUAUUUAUUUAUCUUCAGAUGCUUAUAAUUAUCUAUUUGUUAAAUAAGAUAAUGAACCAGAUUAAUUAGUUUUUUAAGGUGGUUUCCUUUUAUCUUGUAUUCUCUAUUAUUAUCAGAUAGGUUUAAAAAUUUUUGAAAAGAUUCUAAGAUCAAAACCAAAUCAGAUCUAGCUAAUCCCCUGAAAACUCUAGCUAAUCUCCUGAAAACUCACGUAAAACCCUUUCCCUCACCUUUAUAAAAUAUCACCAGACCCUCAGAAUAAUGUUUCAGAAAUUUUAGUUGACAAAGAGGGAAAAGAAAAGGAUAGCACUCGUGCAGUCCCUUCUUUUCUUUUACCCAGCCACCUCAUCAGAGCACCUUCAGAUCUGCACAGACACUGCCAGUCAACCACUUCGUUGAACACCCCACUAUCUGGUAAGCCACUGCAGUCUGCCACCUUUUUCUCUCUCUCUUGUCACACAUUACCUUUCCUUAGCAAGCCUUAGAUCCUAUCGCUGGCCUGCUUUCUCCAGCAAAUGAUUAUUUGCUUUGUUCAUAUCCUCUUAUUUCUUUUACUUUACUGAAAAGUACAUGCAAGUUUUGGUUAUUACACAAAUGCCCUUCAACCUACUGCACCUAACCUUUCCGUAAACUGCCUCAUAAAGGAACUUUUGGUGAAGUUACCUCUUUACCCUCUAGUAACUAGGCAGACUUUAUAUUUUAAACCUGAUCAUAUACGUGGGCUAUUUUUCCUUGUGGGCUGGGCUUGAGGUUUAUUAGACAUCUUUCAUUAAUAUGGACUUUUGUUUUAAAUUGGGCUUGAUUCUAGUAUAUUUCAGAAACUUGUUUUAAUUGAUAAGUGAGUUGAUUUCUUGUGGGCUUGAUUAUUUUAUUGGGCUGGUUGUAUUUACAGAAACUAUUCUAGUAACCUUAAAUGAUUUCUGUAAUUGGGGUUGGGCUGAAACUUAAAUCAGACCAAAGUUUCACUUAAAUAAAUAUAUUAGUCUUAGACUCAUUCUUUUAUACAAUAUAUUGAAGGGCUUUUAAGCAUACUUUAAAGAAUUCUUUUAUAUUGUUUCAGCUUGUUAUCUUAGCUAAUAUUUCAAAUGACCUUUAACUAAGUUUUAUAAAAUUAUUAAGAUCAUCAUAUGAGCUUUGGAAUAAUAUUAUUUUAGGUAAUCUUUUUAUAUUUGAAUAUUCAUUAUAUUAUCUCUAUGGUAAGAUUUUAAAUAAUUAGAUUGCUACGACACGUUUUUUAGAAAGAUUAGUAACGUCUAGUGCCUUAUAUAGGUCACGAGUUACGACGUGAGAUUUCGGAAGCAACGCUAAGAGGUAAAUAAUAUGAUCAUAUAAAUGUAUGUGUAAUGUAAAUAUUAUAAUUGGGUAUGAUAAUAUGAUAUGGUUUUGAUGGUUAUCUACGUUGCGCUAAGAGCCAAGUCAAGGUUAGAUCGC